UUAAAGAGGAAUUCCCUUUUUAAGUGCCGCAUUUGGUUAACCUAAUGGGGUAGUCUAAUUUUACACCAGCUUUUCCUAUUUAUUUUUUUUGAAUGUUAAUCUAAUAGGGCAGCCGUGAGUGCCACAAAAGGUUGGUAUAAUAGGGCAUUUUGUACAAACAUCAAACACGACAUUCCUGAUGUUUAAAAAAAAAAAAACCACGUCAUUCAUGAACCCAAGUAAUAGGGCAUUUUCUCUUGUGGGCCUGAAAAGCUCUUGGAGGGGAAUCAAAAUUUUCAUAAGAUGACGUCGUUUCUGGGCUUUCCCUCCUAAAAUUGGCGCUCUAAUUUUCACGCAGUUCAAAAUGUUCAAUGGUAUUGGGAAGCUAUCCACAUGAUACAAACAAAGCAACUCACUCUCCUCUUCUCUCCCCUCCUCUGUGUUUCACCAGCAACGAGAUUAGGGCUCGAUUUUGCUUUGCAACUGCGAGUUAAGGUUAAUUUUACUGCUUCCUUCCAUUAAUUGAUCUUUAUUCCUUGUUAGUAUUGCACAUGCAUUGCCGAUAAACAAGUUCACACUAACCUAGGGCUUUCCUUUUGUUAUUAAUUUGCCCUGCCUAUGUAAUUACACUUUGGAUAUUUGACUGGAGAACUAUUCGAGAAUUCCUUUGGAAAAGGAUAUUUGAACGGAGUAGAGGAGUUGUUGAAUUUCGCAUUUCGUAAUGCAAGUAUUUGGGGACUCGGUUUGCAUGCUUGGGGAAUUGAUUAAUUAGUGUUGUUUGUUGUAAUUUUGUGGCUCACAUUGGUUUGUGGAGAUAUGGAACUGAGGCUCAUUGUGUUUCCACCAGGUGUUUGAUAUAAGUCCUCAAAGAAAAUGUACUGAAUUUAGAAUUAAAAAAAGUGCAAUGACAUGGUAUUUCUUUUCUUCUUUUGACAAAAUAUUUGGUUCUAUGUUUGCCUCCAGGUUAAUUCUUAAAACUUCCCUUUCCUCGGAAGUUUCAAAUGAAACAAAUCUUUGCAAUUAAAUUGAAGUAGCAAAAUUGUAGAGUUUCCACCGAAGUGGCUGGAAGCCUAAGGUCAGGAUAAGAAUAGUAUUCAUAUUAGCUUGAGAGAGCCAAUGAUUUUCCCCCGCAUUGCUGCUGAUUCUUUUCAGUUUUUGGAAUGUUCUUAGAGGCCUCAUCAUUGUGUUAUGCUUUAUUCAUUAACAUGUUUUAGGCGAUGGUCCCAAUGACUCGUAAUAUUGGACAAGCCCAUGUAAAGCCUGAUUCCAAUCAAUCGCAUGAAGUAUGGAUGGUGCGGCCAUUGUUUAGCCCCUUAAUGAACUAGGUAAAUGAUAGGGGAAUGGGUUCGCUUUUACAAAUUAUGGGUUACCCGUUACAGCUUGUGCAUCGUUUCUAGUUUAAUAGUGGCUUUUUAUAUACUGCAUUCACCUAAUUGCCUUUGAAUUUAGAUUCUACGGUAAUCAUUGAUUACUUAUGAUUUAUGCAUUACAAGUUGUGCAUUUUCUUUUUUGUCUGACAAUGGCUUUUAGACAAAAAUCUCUGAAUGCUGGAUUUUCGAUAUAUGCUGGAAAAUGAGUACUACAUGCUGAUUUAAUGCUGAAGUUCAAAUCCCAAUCAUAUGGGGCGAGCAUUUGAUGAGGCCUUACGCAAGCCUUAAGACCGUUGGCGAUGCCAUUGGUACACCAAUAGCAUGGCCUGUUUCUUUGGAACGUUUGGUGCCCAAUAUUGUCAAUUUUUCAAUUCUUAUUGCAAGACAAUGACUUUUAAAACUGUGUAUCUGGUUUUGUUUUGAUCAGGUAGUGAGAGAUGAUGAUGAUGGCUUUAGUGAAUGAAU